CACGGAGUUAGCCGAUGCUUUUUCUUCGGAUACACGCAGUCCGGGACACGUCCCGGGUUUUGUUCUCCGACAAAAGAGGUUUACAACCCAUAGGGCCGUCUUCCCUCACGCGGCUUGGCUGGUUCAGGAUCUCUCCCAUUGACCAAUAUUCCUCACUGCUGCCUCCCGUAGGAGUCUGGUCCGUGUCUCAGUACCAGUAUGGGGGACCUUCCUCUCAGAACCCCUACGCAUCGUCGCCACGGUGGGCCGUUACCCCGCCGUCAAGCUAAUGCGCCGCAUGCCCAUCCUCUUCCGAUGAAUCUUUCCUCGAUCUCGGAUGCCCGAAACCGAUAUACGCGGGAUUAGCCUCCCUUUCGGAAGGUUGUCCCCCUGAAGAGGGCAGGUUGCAUACGUGUUACUCACCCGUGCGCCGGUCGCCGGCAAGGAAAGCAAGCUUCCCUCCCGAUGCCCCUCGACUUGCAUGUGUUAAGCCUGCCGCUAGCGUUCAUCCUGAGCCAGGAUCAAACUC
rnacentral:rRNA from 1 species